CCCCUCGCGUACGUCCCCGAGCUGCCCGGGACAGGGGGGAGCGGGGGCGGAGCGGCUCGGUCCCUGCUAACUCGCUCUCCGGGGCAAGACCGAAGCAGCGAGGGCCGGCCAGAAGACCCCCCCCCCGCCUGGGGCAGAGCCCCCGGCCCACUGCGGAUGGGCUGAGAGGGGUCUGCGGGCUCCGAGAGAGCUCCCGGCAGCCGGCUGAGGCUGAGCGCCCUGCGGGUGGGCCAGGCGGAGAGCAGCAGGGGGAAGGAAGCGCGGUCCGGACAAGCGAAAAGGCACAGGGUGCUUGUCCUUUCCUCCCACCCGGGAAUAGCCCGGCAGCCCCCUCCCUAGCUGGCAACCCGUGUGAGGGCUCCCUUGUGUGAAGAAGCAGGCAUUAAACGGGGCGAACGGCGGGCACAUGGGGAUAACUGCUUUUGAGAAACGCUCAGGUCUGUGUGUAAUGAACCUUGUGUUUCCAGAAAUGGUUAACCACUUUUACAGCUUGCAAGCCAAAUAUCCCACUACAUAACGCAAAUUACGUUUGAUUAAAAACGGAUGUAUCAAGACCAAGUAACAUACAUCACUGUAUGUAAGAAAUAAGAGCAGUCUUACUGAUCAAAAAGCUGAAAUCAAGUUUCUUGUUCGUUAGUAUUUCACUGGAGGCUCACAAAUGUUAUCCCACAGGAAAACCACUGCGGUGGAGUGUUGGGCAGAUGGGAAAACCCAUCGCUCCAGCCUUAAGCACAGAAAACGUACAUAUGUCAGUAUCCCGUGGCUUAUGUUCCAGUGUUCCACACAGAACACAAUGGCAUCAAAGCAUGAAGAGAUUACCAGCAGAAAAGAGAUCCAUGCUUAAUUUGUGUGACCAUUUCUGUACUCUGCAAGGUGUUAUUCAAGCUGCUAUGAAAACUAGAGUGGGUAAGAAAGAGUUCUGGACCAUAAUCUCAUGUUGCUUCUCCACCGGAGUGCCAAGAGCAACAUCCUGGCAGAACGCAAAAUGAAAGUGGAAUAUAAGUACCCUCAUUAGUCAUCCUUCUUUUUUACCAAUGGGGGCAGAAUAUCAUUUUGUUUGAGCUCUGAAAAAAGAACUGCAGUGAGAAAAUAAUCUGUAGUUCUUAAAUCACAAAUGUUUGUUGUUGCUGUUACUUUUAUUUUAAUUUAACUCUGUUUGGAAUGAUAACCCUAAAAAUAAACUGUGGUUCUUGCUGCAAUAUGAAAGGAAAUAACCAGAUAUCCUGGUUAUCCAAACUGUAAGACAUUUUAAUGUAGCAUGGGGAGUUAUAUUUUUUUGACCAUAAAUUAUUAUUUGUUUGUUUUUCAAGAGGUGUUCGGAACAUCUGAGAAUAAAAGAAAAAACCUCUACUGAUAUACUUAGUGAAAAGUCUGCUGGGAUAAAUAAAUAGUGUUCUGAAUGGUAAAAAGUCAAUAUUUUCAUUGAGAUGAAUCUCUUCAAAACGUGAUUGCACAAAUAAAUGAUGAUAAGAAAUACAAUUAUGGUAAUUAAUACUAUAGCUUUGUAAAUAAUUACAUAAUGCCAGAUAGAAUACUUAUAAUAAUACUUAAAGCAUUCUUUAGCAAAUUUCUAAGUAUGUCUAUAUGUCUAAAAUCUAAGAAGUCUAAUACAUUCUUAAUGAUUAAAAAUUUUAGCACAUGUUGCUUCAUACACUGCUGUCAAUUUCAGGCUCAAAGUUGUAAGAUGAAACCAGUAAAUGAGUUGAAAAUCUUUUUUUUUUUUUUUUUAAGAAAAGAAAAAAACAUACAUAAAAACGAACAAACAAACAAACAAGCAAUGAAAAAAACAUAAUGUACAUAGCAUUUGUACAUAAAAAUGAACCAGAAAUUAAGAAACAAAAAUAACUAUAUGAAACUACCAGACUUAUUUUCUUAAGGAAAUGUAAAUACUGAUAUUAUUUUGUGAAAAUGAAAAAAAACAAUCCAGACAAGGAUAACCCUAAGUAGUCAAUUACUAAAUAUUGUUUCUGAUUAUUCAAAAUGGUUACAACUACAAAAUAAACUGCAACUGGUAGCUGAUAAAGAAAAUUUUAUUAUGUGUUUUCCAGCUGAGAUUCUCUUGGCUUACAGAGGAGUUCGUGUUUUUAAAGAACUCACCGAUGCAGCUUGGUAAAAGGAGCGUAUUAUGCUGAUAUAAGCACCUUUAUUAUUUGUGAAUGCAGCCACACUCAGCCAUCUGUUCAUACUAAAAGCUGUAACAGAAGAAUUCAGUACAAGUCUAUGUGGAGGUCAGGCUCCACCUGCAUAUGCUGAGUUAAUUUGCAGAGUACUAUGAAUUAGUUCCCAGUUGUGUAAGAGUGUUUACUUAAUAUGACCAUUAGGAAGAAGCUAAAAUCUUUGAUGUACUGAGCCAAGUUCAGACUCACCAUGGAUAUCCAGAAACAAGUACAUUCCUCUAAGACUAUAUAAAUAACUAUAUAUGUCUUCCAUUUUACAUUUCUGCUGUUUAAACAUGCAGAAAUACACUUAUCUCUUUCCAGAAUUAAAGUUAUCUGAAAGGCUUUCUUCUUACUGGAUAAAUUACAUUUUAGACUAUGCAAUGAAACUCAGAAUUUCCCACAUACUUUUGUGGAGAUGGUAAACCUAUACUACAUUUAUUU